rnacentral:rRNA from 1 species
UACGUAGGGUGCGAGCGUUGUCCGGAAUUACUGGGCGUAAAGAGCUCGUAGGUGGUUUGUCACGUCGUCUGUGAAAUUCCGGGGCUUAACCUCGGGCGUGCAGGCGAUACGGGCAAUACUUGAGUGCUGUAGGGGAGACUGGAAUUCCUGGUGUAGCGGUGAAAUGCGCAGAUAUCAGGAGGAACACCAAUGGCGAAGGCAGGUCUCUGGGCAGUAACUGACGCUGAGGAGCGAAAGCAUGGGUAGCGAACAGGAUUAGA